rnacentral:ncRNA from 1 species
UUUGCACAACGCGGGAGCUCGGAGCACCGGGCUGAGAGGGCGCUGAACCUCCGUACCCGGCAGGCACGUCGGACACGUGCCGGAAGCCGGAGGGGACUUGGCUGCGUCGACCGCCGAACCUGUUACCGGGUAAUGCCGGCGUAGGGAGUAGGUCUGAUGACCGU